UACGGAGGGGGGCUAGCGUUGUUCGGAAUUACUGGGCGUAAAGCGCACGUAGGCGGCUUUGCAAGUUAGAGGUGAAAGCCCGGGGCUCAACUCCGGAAUUGCCUUUAAAACUGCAUCGCUAGAAUUGUGGAGAGGUAAGUGGAAUUCCGAGUGUAGAGGUGAAAUUCGUAGAUAUUCGGAAGAACACCAGUGGCGAAGGCGACUUACUGGACACAUAUUGACGCUGAGGUGCGAAAGCGUGGGGAGCAACAGG
rnacentral:rRNA from 1 species